rnacentral:pre_miRNA from 13 species
UAUGGUUAGUUUUGCAGGUUUGCAUCCAGCUGUGUGAUAGUCUGCUGUGCAAAUCCAUGCAAAACUGACUGUGGU